rnacentral:rRNA from 1 species
GUGAGGAAUAUUGGACAAUGGGCGCAAGCCUGAUCCAGCCAUGCCGCGUGCAGGAAGACGCAUCUAUGGUGUGUAAACUGCUUUUGUACGGGAAGAAACACUCCCUCGUGAGGGAGCUUGACGGUACCGUAAGAAUAAGGAUCGGCUAACUCCGUGCCAGCAGCCGCGGUAAUACGGAGGAUCCAAGCGUUAUCCGGAAUCAUUGGGUUUAAAGGGUCCGUAGGCGGUUUAAUACGUCAGUGGUGAAAGCCCAUCGCUCAACGAUGGAACGGCCAUUGAUACUGUUAGACUUGAAUUACAAGGAAGUAACUAGAAUAUGUAGUGUAGCGGUGAAAUGCUUAGAUAUUACAUGGAAUACCAAUUGCGAAGGCAGGUUACUACUUGUGGAUUGACGCUGAUGGACGAAAGCGUGGGGAGCGAACAGGAUUAGAUACCCCUGUAGUCC